UUUCUACUUUAUAAACCCAUGCAAAUGAUGAAGUUCAUCUAUUGGAUCCGAUGCUUGCGAUGGAUAACUUUUGCAAAACAGCAACAAUGCAAUUGUUGACAGUUUUGAUUAUUAUCUACAUAUCCACAACGAAUGCAACAUCGGUCAAAAGAGGAGAGGGUGAUGACGUCCAAACCGGAGAAAUACUGCCCGCUGGGAGUAACCACUGUUACGAUUUAGGUGAUAGUUGCCUUGGAACGUUUAUCAAGCCAUGUUGUGGGUGGUUGUAUUGUGGAAAAUGGGACCUCUUCAAGAGAGGAACAUGUGUAACGUGUAAGCCGAGUGGACAGUGGUGCGCCAAGGACCGGGAGUGUUGUUCAGGACACUGUGGAAGCACCUGGGGGUGCAGCUAAAACAUGACAUUUUGGACUAUUUUGAUGCCUUCCUGGUCAUGAGUAUUCAAAGAAUACGAUAAUGCUGCGUAUAUACAGAUGCUUUGACUUGCCCACUAGGGGGCGGAAACUGUAAACAGUGUAAUAUCGCUCUUGAUAAUCAUAUGUUUUCAAUAACAUGUUUAAUCGUCAAGUGAACCUUCUACAUUGUUAGGUAAAUUAUAAUAAAAGACAACGCUACAA